rnacentral:rRNA from 1 species
UACGAAGGGGGCUAGCGUUGUUCGGAAUCACUGGGCGUAAAGCGCACGCAGGCGGAUCGUUAAGUCGGGGGGUGAAAUCCCGAGGCUCAACCUCGGAACUGCCUUCGAUACUGGCGAUCUUUGAGUCCGGGAGAGGUGAGUGGAACUCCGAGUGUAGAGGUGAAAUUCGUAGAUAUUCGCAAGAACACCAGUGGCGAAGGCGGCUCACUGGCCCGGUACUGACGCUGAGGUGCGAAAGCGUGGGGAGCAAACAGG